rnacentral:lncRNA from 1 species
AGCUAACAAAAGGUUCAGCCCAGAGAAUUCCACGAGGGUGACCUAAUGUUGAAGAUCCUCCCUCUACAAAAAAUAUAUAUUUUGGGGGGAAACGGAUUGGGAAGAGCCUUAUGUUAUAGAGAAGGUUUGUUUUUCAAAUGAGCUUUGAUUUUGAGCGAGAUGGAUGAUAAACCUGCAAAGUCCUGUAAACUCAGAUUCAGUCAGGAAAUACUCCGCUUAAGGAAUGAGAUGACCAAGGUAAGAAACCCGCAAAGGGCACUUUGAGUCGGAAAAAAAAUGACGAAAUGAAAAAAUAAAAAAUGAAAAAGUAAAAUAAAGAGGCUAAGGUGAAAACCC